UACGAAGGGGGCGAGCGUUGUUCGGAAUUACUGGGCGUAAAGGGCGCGUAGGCGGCGACCCAAGUCAGAUGUGAAAGCCCCGGGCUCAACCUGGGAACCGCGCUUGAGACUGGCAUGCUCGAGUUCGGGAGAGGAUGGUGGAAUUCCCAGUGUAGAGGUGAAAUUCGUAGAUAUUGGGAAGAACACCGAUGGCGAAGGCAGCCAUCUGGACCGACACUGACGCUGAGGCGCGAAAGCGUGGGGAGCAAACAGG
rnacentral:rRNA from 1 species